GAUGAAGAACGUAGUGAAAUGCGAUACUUGGUGUGAAUUGCAGAAUCCCGUGAACCAUCGAGUCUUUGAACGCAAGUUGCGCCCGAAGCCACUAGGCCGAGGGCACGCCUGCCUGGGCGUCACACGCCGUUGCCCCCCCAUCUACUCCUUCGGGAUUGCGGGGGGGCGGAUGAUGGCCUCCCGUGCGCCUAGCCGCGCGGUUGGCAUAAAUACCAAGUCCUCGGCGACGCACGCCACGACAAUCGGUGGUUGCGAAACCUCGGUUGCCCGUCGUGUGCGUUCGUCGUGCAUCGAGGGCUCGAAAAAAUGCUCGGCUCCGGCUGGGCUUUCAACGCGACCCCAGGUCAGGCGGGGUUACCCGCUGAAUUUAAGCAUAUCAAUAAGCGGAGGA
rnacentral:misc_RNA from 1 species